rnacentral:rRNA from 1 species
GCAGUCGAGCGGUAGCACAGAGAGCUUGCUCUCGGGUGACGAGCGGCGGACGGGUGAGUAAUGUCUGGGAAACUGCCUGAUGGAGGGGGAUAACUACUGGAAACGGUAGCUAAUACCGCAUAACGUCGCAAGACCAAAGUGGGGGACCUUCGGGCCUCAUGCCAUCAGAUGUGCCCAGAUGGGAUUAGCUGGUAGGUGGGGUAACGGCUCACCUAGGCGACGAUCCCUAGCUGGUCUGAGAGGAUGACCAGCCACACUGGAACUGAGACACGGUCCAGACUCCUACGGGAGGCAGCAGUGGGGAAUAUUGCACAAUGGGCGCAAGCCUGAUGCAGCCAUGCCGCGUGUGUGAAGAAGGCCUUCGGGUUGUAAAGCACUUUCAGCGGGGAGGAAGGCGAUGAGGUUAAUAACCUCGUCGAUUGACGUUACCCGCAGAAGAAGCACCGGCUAACUCCGUGCCAGCAGCCGCGGUAAUACGGAGGGUGCAAGCGUUAAUCGGAAUUACUGGGCGUAAAGCGCACGCAGGCGGUCUGUCAAGUCGGAUGUGAAAUCCCCGGGCUCAACCUGGGAACUGCAUUCGAAACUGGCAGGCUAGAGUCUUGUAGAGGGGGGUAGAAUUCCAGGUGUAGCGGUGAAAUGCGUAGAGAUCUGGAGGAAUACCGGUGGCGAAGGCGGCCCCCUGGACAAAGACUGACGCUCAGGUGCGAAAGCGUGGGGAGCAAACAGGAUUAGAUACCCUGGUAGUCCACGCUGUAAACGAUGUCGAUUUGGAGGUUGUGCCCUUGAGGCGUGGCUUCCGGAGCUAACGCGUUAAAUCGACCGCCUGGGGAGUACGGCCGCAAGGUUAAAACUCAAAUGAAUUGACGGGGGCCCGCACAAGCGGUGGAGCAUGUGGUUUAAUUCGAUGCAACGCGAAGAACCUUACCUGGUCUUGACAUCCACAGAACUUAGCAGAGAUGCUUUGGUGCCUUCGGGAACUGUGAGACAGGUGCUGCAUGGCUGUCGUCAGCUCGUGUUGUGAAAUGUUGGGUUAAGUCC